CGACCCUGUGUUUGAUUCCCACAGGUGCAGACCCGAAGUUCGGAUGAGCCAAUGACAACCUUUGUGGUGUGUAACGAAUGUGGAAAUCGCUGGAAGUUCUGCUGAAAACCUCACGGAGGGGAGCAGCCACAGCUGAUUCAGGGCCCAAGCUCUGCCACGGACUCCCGCAGUACGGCCAGCAGUUUUUUUUUUUUUUUGGUCCUGUUUUGUCACCGAGUUUGCUUUGUGCUCUGUACAUCAUCCAGGUGAGGAGGGCCCAGCUGCCUGCACACCUGUAGGAAGUUAUCAGCGGCUGGGAACGGAGGCCGCCGGGAUGGCACCGGAUGGGAAAGUUUAACCGGGACCAACCAGCUUAUUGUUGAGAAUGUGGAACAGCGAUUUUUGUUCUUGUUUCGUUUCGUUUCUCUUAAAACGGCCAGGCGUCUGGCUUUGAGCCUCAAAGU